rnacentral:misc_RNA from 1 species
CUGGGUCCUGCCCACACUGUGCAAGCA